AAAAAAGCAGGGGCCUGUUGCCUUUUUGUGGACAGAUCUCUCGUAAACUUCAGGGAAAUCAUUUUUUCAUCAUUAUUGGGUGAACCUCUUGAUUGAUUAAUGAAUGAAGGUUCAGUAAAUGAUGGGACAUUA